GAUGAACGCUGGCGGCGUGCCUAACACAUGCAAGUCGAGCGAUUCUCUUCGGAGAAGAGCGGCGGACGGGUGAGUAACGCGUGGGUAACCUGCCCUGUACACACGGAUAACAUACCGAAAGGUAUGCUAAUACGGGAUAACAUAAGAAAUUCGCAUGUUUUUCUUAUCAAAGCUCCGGCGGUACAGGAUGGACCCGCGUCUGAUUAGCUAGUUGGUGAGGUAAUGGCUCACCAAGGCGACGAUCAGUAGCCGACCUGAGAGGGUGAUCGGCCACAUUGGAACUGAGACACGGUCCAAACUCCUACGGGAGGCAGCAGUGGGGAAUAUUGCACAAUGGGCGAAAGCCUGAUGCAGCAACGCCGCGUGAGCGAUGAAGGCCUUCGGGUCGUAAAGCUCUGUCCUCAAGGAAGAGUAAUGACGGUACUUGAGGAGGAAGCCCCGGCUAACUACGUG
rnacentral:rRNA from 1 species